AAGUAAAAAACAGGGAAUCUUCAAAAAAAUUCAACAACAAAAAAAAGUAUAAAAAAUGGACGCUCUGACCAGCUGAGCUAUUCCAGCGUACUUCGAAUCUUCGGUUACAACAAACUAUAUAUUCUGUUCUCUUCUAUGUACGAACGAUAAAGUUCAUCUAAACGGACUUUUGGGCUUUGGCUAUGAAUCUGAACUCAUCAACUCCUGAGCUUCGGUUGGCUAUUGCAAAAUUUCUCUGUUCAGGUCUGGGUAUAAACACCAACGAUUUUAUCAAGACUUGUAUAAGUUUUUAAGAGAGGCAUGGGCAGAGUGCAGGAGAAAGUCCCUGUAUAUCCAAAUGGUCGUUGAAAUUCCGGUUGAUGAAUCUUCACCUGCAUUCUGGUAGUAGACAAGAUGCUAUGAUUGUCCAGUUCAUGAAGCCUCACCUGCAUUCUGGUAGUAGAGAAGAUGUUAUGAUUGGUUGAAGAAAUUUCUGCGGGGAAUUCGUGCAUAUAUUAUUUUGGUAUGUUUUAGCAUGCUCCUACUCGGCCAUGGGUGAUGUUGUAGUAUCAACUGAAUUAGCUUCAUACAUAUUGGGGAAGGGCCGGUAGGUUUACCUUUCAUAUGUUUCUACUUAUGCUGUACCUUCUGCGAGGUUUUGUUUUUUUGUGAUAUCGGUCUGUCAUUGUUCCACCAACACACUUAACAUACCAUUUGUUUUGUAAGGUUUUCUUUUUUGUCAGCAAUUAUGAUGCUGAUAAAGUUAUUUGGUGUAUUUUAGCUCCCCCGAGAUAGCUUAUUAACUGUGUUGUUCACAA